rnacentral:pre_miRNA from 1 species
GAAAUACUCCCUCCGUCCCAAAUUACUCGUCGCAUAAAUGGAUGUAUCUAGAACUAAAAUACAUCUAAAUACAUCCAUACCUGCGACAAGUAAUUCGGGACGGAGGGAGUAUAUG